rnacentral:rRNA from 1 species
UACAGAGGGUGCUAGCGUUGUUCGGAAUUACUGGGCGUAAAGAGCGCGCAGGCGGUCGUUCAAGUCGCGUGUGAAAGCCCCCGGCUCAACUGGGGAGGGUCACGCGAUACUGAUCGACUCGAAGGCAGGAGAGGGAAGUGGAAUUCCCGGUGUAGUGGUGAAAUGCGUAGAUAUCGGGAGGAACACCAGUGGCGAAGGCGACUUCCUGGCCUGUUCUUGACGCUGAGGCGCGAAAACUAGGGGAGCAAACGGG